AAACGUGCCUCCUUCACACUUUGUGCUUCUGAGCUUGGUGUUUGCCACUCGAGACAUAUCAAGAUGAGCUCCCAGACACAGCUACUCUGGCUCCUCGUCCUCUGCAUUCAGGGCUCCAGCGGGCAGAUUGUGCUGACUCAGACUCCAGAAUCCCUGGCAGUGUCUCCAGGAGACAGAGUCACCAUCAACUGCAAAGCCAGUUCCAGUGUUAGCAACUGGAUGGCCUGGUACCAACAGAAAUCAGGACAGGCUCCUAAGCUCCUUAUCUACGAUGCUUCCAGCCGUCCCUCUGGGAUCCCAGACCGGUUCAGUGGCAGUGGGUCUGGCACAGACUUCACUCUCACAAUCAGCCGGGUGGAAGUGGAUGAUGCUGGAGAUUAUUACUGCCAGCAGCAAAGCAGCUCUCACACAGUGAUACAGACCAGAGAAAGGGCUGACCUGGCUGAGGUGUCCAAAUCCAGGAAUGCGUGUUGA